GUAGGGAAUCUUCGGCAAUGGACGAAAGUCUGACCGAGCAACGCCGCGUGAGUGAAGAAGGUUUUCGGAUCGUAAAGCUCUGUUGUAAGUCAAGAACGUGUGUGAGAGUGGAAAGUUCACACAGUGACGGUAGCUUACCAGAAAGGGACGGCUAACUACGUGCCAGCAGCCGCGGUAAUACGUAGGUCCCGAGCGUUGUCCGGAUUUAUUGGGCGUAAAGGGAGCGCAGGCGGUCAGGAAAGUCUGGAGUAAAAGGCUAUGGCUCAACCAUAGUGUGCUCUGGAAACUGUCUGACUUGAGUGCAGAAGGGGAGAGUGGAAUUCCAUGUGUAGCGGUGAAAUGCGUAGAUAUAUGGAGGAACACCAGUGGCGAAAGCGGCUCUCUGGUCUGUCACUGACGCUGAGGCUCGAAAGCGUGGGUAGCGAACAGGA
rnacentral:rRNA from 1 species